rnacentral:lncRNA from 1 species
CACUUUUCUGCAUCGGCCAAUCAGAGUUCUGUUGCCGAGGCUUCGACGGCCAACUGAUGUUGCUGUGGAGACGACGAAAUGUUGAGCACUCACAAACCCAUUAACGUCAGUGCGUAGUAACCACGGAAACAAGCGCUGCAACGUCAUUCUUUUUUCUCCCUUCCCCUUCAGAAAUCGCCAGCCACGCAGACUGUGGCGUCACGUGCUGGGAGGAGGCAGAGGAGGUGGCCCUCAGUUGUUACAGCAGCAGUGGGAGGUGGAGCUCGGUUGUCACAGCAGCGAAGAAGAGGCGGGCCUUUUUCUGUGUCCUUUGAACGGCGAAACGUGAGGAAAACGUACAACAAGGAAAGCCAAGUCUGAUGCAUCCGUGAAAAGUCCCAUCCCUUGGCUGAUCCCUACCCAAACAAGAAAUCUGCAUCCAAAACAUUUCAGUUUUCUUUCCCUCUUACUGAAAGAACAGCAGAAAUGCAUUUUCUAUGAGAAUGGGAGAUGUAUUUCGACUAGUUUGUGAGUAGGUAAUUGGGAAUACCAGAGCUUAACAUAGUCGUGUGCUGGCGUCUGUCUUGUUUAAAACAUUUCAUCUAAUAUCGUAUAAAUUACGACAUAAUUUAUUUACUUGCUGUAUUUGCGUGAACAUCCCAUAACAGCAGUUCUCUGAGUAGCUUAUAAAAGCAAGUAUGUGAUAAUCAAUCUAAAUAUGAAAGUGCAAUUAGAAAC